rnacentral:rRNA from 1 species
CCCUUAGAUGUUCUGGGCCGCACGCGCGCUACACUGAUGCAUUCAACGAGCCUAUCCUUGACCGACAGGUCCGGGUAAUCUUUGAAUCUACAUCGUGACGGGGAUAGAUUAUUGCAAUUAUUAAUCUUCAACGAGGAAUGCCUAGUAGGCGCAAGUCAUCAGCUUGCGUCGAUUACGUCCCUGCCCUUUGUACACACCGCCCGUCGCUCCUACCGAUUGGGUGUGCUGGUGAAAUGUUCGGAUCGGCCGUUUGUCGCGGUUUCCGCGUCAUGUGGCUGAGAAGUUCAUUAAACCCUCCCACCUAGAGGAAGGAGAAGUCGUAACA